GACGAACGCUGGCGGCGUGCUUAACACAUGCAAGUCGAGCGGUAAGGCCCUUCGGGUACACGAGCGGCGAACGGGUGAGUAACACGUGGGUGACCUGCCUCUAGCUCUGGGAUAAGCCUGGGAAACUGGGUCUAAUACCGGAUAUGACUCCACGGCGCAUGUUGUGGGGUGGAAAGCCUUGUGUGGCUAGAGAUGGGCCCGCGGCCUAUCAGCUUGUUGGUGGGGUGGAUGGCCUACCAAGGCGACGACGGGUAGCCGGCCUGAGAGGGCGACCGGCCACACUGGGACUGAGACACGGCCCAGACUCCUACGGGAGGCAGCAGUGGGGAAUCUUGCGCAAUGGGCGAAAGCCUGACGCAGCGACGCCGCGUGAGGGAUGACGGCCU
rnacentral:rRNA from 1 species